rnacentral:rRNA from 1 species
CAAAAACCAAAAGAGCCGUGCUGCCUAGAAAGAACCAUUGGGGAAGGGAUCA